ensembl:lncRNA
UCUGAGCCGAGAGCGGAGGACGACGAAAGAAUGCGCUGCCGUGUAAAUCGAAGAAGAGAAGUCGAGGCCGCAGGAGCAGGAGGUGCCCGAGUCCUGGGGCGCGAGCACACCCAUUCGAGAAACAGCACGGGGCUCCUGCUGCUGGGUGCAGCUCAGUGAGCAGGAGGCGGAGUCACGGAGGCAGAGGGGCUGCGUCUCCUCUCGUCUCGGGGACCGACUCACAGGGAGGGGACUUUACUGCAGAGACAGUGCAAACACUACUGCAAAGCCGCACAGAGGGAGAUGGAGUGACUGAACCACGGCCCUGUGAUCGGCGGGAAGGCUGGCAUCGGAAGCUGGCAGUGCGGGUCCGACAGCGCCCUGAGCCCCUCACACAGGGUGUAUGGAGAGUACGGGACCUCCCCACAACUGCCCUCAGGCCCUUCGGGACACUGGCAUGUCCGCCACUGGGCUGGAACACAAGACCACUCGUGGUGCGGGUUCUGAGCCCAGACGGACUGAGCCAGGGGCCGGAGAUGCCUGACCCCUCACCUGGACCGGCCUGCAUCUUCUCCAGGGUCUCAAGUUGCCCAGCCUGGGCUCACACUCUCAGUCCUCCUGCAUCCAUCUGCCUGUUGAGUCGCAAGCGUGCACCACGAAGCACGACUGACACGUCAUUUUUAAUUCACAGUCAUUAACAUUAGCAACAUUUUUACACGUUGCUGAUCACACUGUUUCUUUUCUGCAAGUUUUUCAUUUGUCCAUUAGUCUAUGUGAGCUGCUCUCCUUUCAUUUCAUAAAGGCCUUGUGUAUACUGGGUUUUUUAACUCUGCCAUUAAUAUUGCAAACAUCUUUCCCAGUUUGUUAUUUGGCUUUAAAUAUUAAUAGAAUUUUCACAAGGCAAAUGCUUUUUAAUUUUGUUAAAUAAAAUUCACAUAUUAGGAACUUGUAGAUGGUUUUCCUCUGAUUCAACAAUUAAAUGCUGCAGUUAAAUCAGAUCCAUGUUCUCCACGCACGUGUGUGAACAUCCCACACAGGAUCCCACCUUCGCCCCAGGAGCAAGGCUAUGAGCUCUCAAGGAACCAGAG